AUUCAGUCGAACGGCAGCACGAGAGAGCUUGCUCUCUUGGUGGCGAGUGGCGGACGGGUGAGUAAUAUAUCGGAACGUGCCCAGUAGCGGGGGAUAACUACUCGAAAGAGUGGCUAAUACCGGAUACGCCCUACGGGGGAAAGGGGGGGAUUCUUCGGAAGCUCUCACUAUUGGAGCGGCCGAUAUCGGAUUAGCUAGUUGGUGGGGCAAAGGCUCACCAAGGCAACGAUCCGUAGCUGGUAUGAGAGGACGACCAGCCACACUGGGACUGAGACACGGCCCAGACUCCUACGGGAGGCAGCAGUGGGGAAUUUUGGACAAUGGGGGAAACCCUGAUCCAGCCAUCCCGCGUGUAUGAUGAAGGCCUUCGGGUUGUAAAGUACUUUUGGCAGAGAAGAAAAGGUAUCUCCUAAUACGAGAUACUGCUGACGGUAUCUGCAGAAUAAGCACCGGCUAACUACGUGCCAGCAGCCGCGGUAAUACGUAGGGUGCAAGCGUUAAUCGGAAUUACUGGGGCGUAAAGCGUGUGUAGGCGGUUCGGAAAGAAAGAUGUGAAAUCCCAGGGCUCAACCUUUG
rnacentral:rRNA from 1 species